GCUCGAGUGGCGAACGGGUGAGUAACACGUGAGUAACCUGCCCUUGACUCUGGGAUAACUUCAGGAAACUGGGGCUAAUACCGGAUAGGAGCUCCUGCUGCAUGGUGGGGGUUGGAAAGUUUCGGCGGUUGGGGAUGGACUCGCGGCUUAUCAGCUUGUUGGUGGGGUAGUGGCUUACCAAGGCUUUGACGGGUAGCCGGCCUGAGAGGGUGGCCGGCCACAUUGGGACUGAGAUACGGCCCAG
rnacentral:rRNA from 1 species